rnacentral:lncRNA from 1 species
AUAAAACUGGAAUAAAUCCCAUUUCUUAUUUGUGUGAAGAAUUUAUUCACAGAUCCAGCUAAAUAUGAUACAGAUCUUUUUUUAACUAGAGCUUACAACACCUCUAGGAAUCUCACCUAAUGCAGGAAAAAGCUGAAAGACUGGCAAGACCUCUUGAAAUUUAGGCACCAAAAGGUAAGUGAGUGAAUAUGAGUCCCGAUUUUUGGAGAAACUAGCAUAAAUAUUGGAUCACUUUCUUCUGGUCUGCGUACAAGCUUACGUGACAUGUAGUAACUAAAUUUAGCACAGUUUUACCACGAGAGGGCAGGAAUGCUUAUCAAACAGGUCUGCCACUGGUUGUUUCACAACGUCUUUGUCAGGACGGCGACCCCAACGUGUUUUCCCUCUAUAGCAUUAUGUGUUGAAGCAUGUACCCUGAGUGCUUAACAACAUGACAAAAUCCUUUGACCCAACAGACUGACCUGUCGUUUGUAAGACAGAUUAAUCCCCAUGGAUGGUCACAGGGUCAGGGGAACUGCUGAACUGCAGCUCUGUGAGGCUGAGAGCACAAUCAGAACUUCUCACUCACAACCUGGCAAGAAGAAACAGCUGUGCCAAGCGUCAUGCUUGCCAAGGAAGGCUAAUGGCCCUCACUUAUUUUGUUGCUGGUGAGGCCACAUGGUGAGUAAAAUCAAGACUGGAACCAGCUGAAAGUUAACUGAACAAACAGAAUGGAGAGGAGAGGAGAGGACCAGCAGAAGACUGACAACAUGAUGGCACUUCUCUUUCAGCAGUGCACCAGGUUUAGAAUAAUUUACACUAUUUAUUAACCUGCAAUCUGAAAAAACUGACAAGUUUUGUCUUUGUUUGUUGUUCUGUUUUUUUGUUUGUUUGUUUUAAACUUAAAUGUGUAUGACUUCUUAUUUUGAAAGAACUAUAUUGUUUUAUAAUUUGACAAAUAUAACACAAUAGAACACAAAUGUAACUUCUGAAAAUAUCAGUUUCUCACAUCCAAUCUUACAGAGAAGUUUUCAGAUCAAGAUGUAUAUAGCAAUACUGUAACAUUUUGUAUUACCUCAGAUUUUCCAGUAUUUCACUUCUGAAUGAGUGGUGAGGUGAUACUUUCAGAGAACUGUGAUCAACCAUGAUUUUCAGAUGUUGCUCUUAUAUAAUUCAAUUUUGUGCUUCCUUGUUAUGAAUAAUGUUUCCUUUCUGCAUUACAGUGCAGUAUCUACUAUUUUAUUAUAACUAUGAGAUCCUUUUAUGGCUUUACAGUCAUAAGCUUUUAAGAGCUUUUGAUAAUGUAUCUUGCUAUAAGCAUUUGUGAAAAUAUAGGAACACAGUGAAUGUUCUAUAUUUAUUUACUUCAUAUGUUUAACAGCUAGAUUUAUAAGGCAG